UUUUGAUAUACUUCUAAGAUAUAAUUCAAGCAAGAAAUUAUACAGAUUACACAAUGUUUUCCCUUUCCUAAUUAACUGAAACUGCACAGGAUAUGAAUACACUUGGCAGUUUACAAUACCUCAUAUCAGCAACCAAAUUACUUGGAAUACACUUGAAUAAACCAACAUUUAAAGAGAAUCUAUUUAUGACAUCAUAUCUUUCCACAUAUAAGAAAACCUCACUGCCAGCACUCAUGGGCUAAGAUCAUGGUUACUGCAAUGCACUAAAAAACACCUCUGAGACUACCUUAGCACCCCUUCCCUUGGCCAUGUACAGGCCUAUGUGAUGCAUCAGUUCCUGUGGAUGUGCUAUAGCAUCUUUGACAGCUCUAGCAACAUGAAGUGAAAUGUCAAAGGUAGCACAAGCUCGAGAUAACACAAUCACAUCCUCUAGAGGAGCAAGAAAACCACGAUUUCUGGUAGAUAGUGCUGAACAUACAAAAUCUAGCACGCAUAUAUCCGUGCAUAUUCCUACCACCAGUAUAACUUUGAUCUGAUUAUUUUUUAUCCAAUCUACAAACACAUUGGAGCCAUCUUUCUCCAUGCAACCCAGAAACCCAUCGAUGCAAUCCUUGCAUUUGAGCGUAACGUUAGCUUCAUUCUCCAACCACUGCAAUUCUGGAACGAGUCUUGCCUCAUCAGUUCCAGCAAUACAGUGAGGAGGGUAAGGGUGCUCCGGAAUAUCAGGAUGAUGAGAAUCAAGAAAAGCGAAAACAGGCCAUUUCUUGUCACAGAAAGCUCUAGCAAGCCUCACC
rnacentral:misc_RNA from 1 species